CAAACGACUCUCGGCAACGGAUAUCUCGGCUCAUGCAUCGAUGAAGAACGUAGCGAAAUGCGAUACUUGGUGUGAAUUGCAGAAUCCCGUGAACCAUCGAGUCUUUGAACGCAAGUUGCGCCCGAAGCCAUUCGGCCGAGGGCACGUCUGCCUGGGCGUCACAC
rnacentral:rRNA from 1 species